CAGUAGCCACGGUAAUACAGAGGGUGCGAGCGUUAAUCGGAUUUACUGGGCGUAAAGCGUGCGUAGGCGGCUUCUUAAGUCGGAUGUGAAAUCCCUGAGCUUAACUUAGGAAUUGCAUUCGAUACUGGGAAGCUAGAGUAUGGGAGAGGAUGGUAGAAUUCCAGGUGUAGCGGUGAAAUGCGUAGAGAUCUGGAGGAAUACCGAUGGCGAAGGCAGCCAUCUGGCCUAAUACUGACGCUGAGGUACGAAAGCAUGGGGAGCAAACAGGAUUAGAUACCCGAGUAGUCCCUGUCUCUUAUAA
rnacentral:rRNA from 1 species